rnacentral:rRNA from 1 species
UACGUAGGGGGCAAGCGUUGUUCGGAAUGACUGGGCGUAAGGGGUGCGUAGGCGGUGUAGCAAGUUAGAAGUGAAAUACCUAGAGCUUAACUCAGGUGCUGCUUCUAAAACUGCUAUACUUGAGUGCAGUAGAGGAAAGUGGAAUUCCUAGUGUAGCGGUGGAAUGCGUAGAUAUUAGGAGGAACAUCAGUGGCGAAGGCGACUUUCUGGACUGUAACUGACGCUGAGGCACGAAAGUGUGGGGAGCAAACAGG